UACGUAGGUGGCAAGCGUUGUCCGGAAUUAUUGGGCAUAAAGCGCGCGCAGGCGGUCCUUUAAGUCUGAUGUGAAAGCCCACGGCUCAACCGUGGAGGGUCAUUGGAAACUGGGGGACUUGAGUACAGAAGAGAAGAGUGGAAUUCCACGUGUAGCGGUGAAAUGCGUAGAGAUGUGGAGGAACACCAGUGGCGAAGGCGACUCUUUGGUCUGUAACUGACGCUGAGGCGCGAAAGCGUGGGGAGCAAACAGG
rnacentral:rRNA from 1 species